CUGGCGGCAGGCCUAACACAUGCAAGUCGAGCGCACUCUUCGGAGUGAGCGGCGGACGGGUUAGUAACGCGUGGGAACAUACCCUUUUCUACGGAAUAGCCUCGGGAAACUGAGAGUAAUACCGUAUACGCCCUUUUGGGGAAAGAUUUAUCGGUGAAGGAUUGGCCCGCGUUUGAUUAGAUAGUUGGUGGGGUAAUGGCCUACCAAGUCUACGAUCAAUAGCUGGUUUGAGAGGAUGAUCAGCAACACUGGGACUGAGACACGGCCCAGACUCCUACGGGAGGCAGCAGUGGGGAAUCUUAGACAAUGGGCGCAAGCCUGAUCUAGCCAUGCCGCGUGAGUGACGAAGGCCUUAGGGUCGUAAAGCUCUUUCGCCAGGGAUGAUAAUGACAGUACCUGGUAAAGAAACCCCGGCUAACUCCGUGCCAGCAGCCGCGGUAAUACGGAGGGGGUUAGCGUUGUUCGGAAUUACUGGGCGUAAAGCGUACGUAGGCGGAUUGGAAAGUAUGGGGUGAAAUCCCAGGGCUCAACCCUGGAACUGCCCUGUAAACUAUCAGUCUAGAGUUCGAGAGAGGUGAGUGGAAUUCCAAGUGUAGAGGUGAAAUUCGUAGAUAUUUGGAGGAACACCAGUGGCGAAGGCGGCUCACUGGCUCGAUACUGACGCUGAGGUACGAAAGUGUGGGGAGCAAACAGGAUUAGGUACCCUGGU
rnacentral:rRNA from 1 species